UACGUAGGGAGCAAGCGUUGUUCGGAUUUACUGGGCGUAAAGGGCGCGUAGGCGGCCUGUCAAGUCAAUUGUGAAAUCUCCGGGCUUAACUCGGAACGGCCAAGUGAAACUGUCAAGCUAGAGUGCAGAAGGGGCAAUCGGAAUUCUUGGUGUAGCGGUGAAAUGCGUAGAUAUCAAGAGGAACACCUGAGGUGAAGACGGGUUGCUGGGCUGACACUGACGCUGAGGCGCGAAAGCCAGGGGAGCAAACGGG
rnacentral:rRNA from 1 species